CCUACGGGGGGCUGCAGUGGGGAAUAUUGGACAAUGGGGGGAACCCUGAUCCAGCCAUGCCGCGUGUGUGAAGAAGGCCCUCGGGUUGUAAAGCACUUUCAGUGAGGAAGAACGCCUGGUGGUUAAUACCCAUCAGGAAAGACAUCACUCACAGAAGAAGCACCGGCUAACUCCGUGCCAGCAGCCGCGGUAAUACGGAGGGUGCGAGCGUUAAUCGGAAUUACUGGGCGUAAAGCGCGCGUAGGUGGCUUGAUAAGCCGGUUGUGAAAGCCCCGGGCUCAACCUGGGAACGGCAUCCGGAACUGGCAAGCUAGAGUGCAGGAGAGGAAGGUAGAAUUCCCGGUGUAGCGGUGAAAUGCGUAGAGAUCGGGAGGAAUACCAGUGGCGAAGGCGGCCUUCUGGACUGACACUGACACUGAGGUGCGAAAGCGUGGGUAGCAAACAGGAUUAGAUACCCCGGUAGUC
rnacentral:rRNA from 1 species